UGAGUGUUUAAAAUGAGCAAA
rnacentral:piRNA from 1 species